UUUUUAAGCGUUUUGUUGCGCAAUUAAAUUUUGCGUAAUCAUUUUGUUGUUGUGUAGGGGAGGUAACACGAAAUAUAACAAGAAUUAAGAAAGAGAAAUGGUGCGUCCAAGUGGACUCGAACCACCGACCCCCACCA
rfam:Proteus mirabilis strain HI4320, complete genome